AUUGAACGCUGGCGGCAGGCCUAACACAUGCAAGUCGAACGAGUGGCGGACGGGUGAGUAAUGUAUGGGAAACUGCCUGAUGGCGGGGGAUAACUACUGGAAACGGUAGCUAAUACCGCAUACCAUCAGAGGUGCCCAGAUGGGAUUAGCUGGUUGGUGGGGUAACGGCUCACCAAGGCAACGAUCCCUAGCUGGUCUGAGAGGAUGACCAGCCACACGGGAACUGAGACACGGUCCAGACUCCUACGGGAGGCAGCAGUGGGGAAUUUUGGACAAUGGGCGAAAGCCUGAUGCAGCCAUGCCGCGUGUAUGAUGAAGGCCUUCGGGUUGUAAAGUACUUUCGGCGGGGAGGCGUUACCCGCAGAAGAAGCACCGGCUAACUACGUGCCAGCAGCCGCGGUAAUUC
rnacentral:rRNA from 1 species